rnacentral:rRNA from 1 species
UGGGGAAUAUUGCACAAUGGGCGCAAGCCUGAUGCAGCCAUGCCGCGUGUAUGAAGAAGGCCUUCGGGUUGUAAAGUACUUUCAGCGGGGAGGAAGGCGAUAAGGUUAAUAACCUUGUCGAUUGACGUUACCCGCAGAAGAAGCACCGGCUAACUCCGUGCCAGCAGCCGCGGUAAUACGGAGGGGGCAAGCGUUAAUCGGAAUUACUGGGCGUAAAGCGCACGCAGGCGGUCUGUCAAGUCGGAUGUGAAAUCCCCGGGCUCAACCUGGGAACUGCAUUCGAAACUGGCAGGCUAGAGUCUUGUAGAGGGGGGUAGAAUUCCAGGUGUAGCGGUGAAAUGCGUAGAGAUCUGGAGGAAUACCGGUGGCGAAGGCGGCCCCCUGGACAAAGACUGACGCUCAGGUGCGAAAGCGUGGGUAGCAAACA